GACGAACGCUGGCGGCGUGCUUAACACAUGCAAGUCGAACGGAAAGGCCCUGCUUUUGUGGGGUGCUCGAGUGGCGAACGGGUGAGUAACACGUGAGUAACCUGCCCUUGACUUUGGGAUAACUUCAGGAAACUGGGGCUAAUACCGGAUAGGAGCUCCUGCUGCAUGGUGGGGGUUGGAAAGUUUCGGCGGUUGGGGAUGGACUCGCGGCUUAUCAGCUUGUUGGUGGGGUAGUGGCUUACCAAGGCUUUGACGGGUAGCCGGCCUGAGAGGGUGACCGGCCACAUUGGGACUGAGAUACGGCCCAGCCUCCUACGGGAGGCAGCAGUGGGGAGUAUUGCACAAUGGGCGGACGCCUGAUGCAGCAACGCCGCGUGCGGGAUGACGGCCUUCGGGUUGUAAACCGCUUUCGCCUGUGACGAAGCGUGAGUGACGGUAAUGGGUAAAGAAGCACCGGCUAACUACGUG
rnacentral:rRNA from 1 species